rnacentral:rRNA from 1 species
GACGAACGCUGGCGGCGUGCUUAACACAUGCAAGUCGAACGAUGAAAGUGGAGCUUGCUCCGCUGGAUUAGUAGCGAACGGGUGAGUAACACGUGGGCAACCUGCCCCAGACUCUGGGAUAACUCCUCGAAAGAGGUGCUAAUACCGGAUACGAACUCCUUGGGCAUCCUUGGAGCUGGAAAGUUUUUCGGUCUGGGAUGGGCCCGCGGCCUAUCAGCUUGUUGGUGGGGUAGUGGCCCACCAAGGCGACGCCGGGUAGCCGGCCUGAGAGGGCGACCGGCCACACUGGGGCUGAGACACGGCCCAGACUCCUACGGGAGGCAGCAGUGGGGAAUAUUGCGCAAUGGGCGAAAGCCUGACGCAGCGACGCCGCGUGAGGGAUGACGGCCUUCGGGUUGUAAACCUCUUUCAGCAGGGAAGAAGCGAAAGUGACGGUAACUGCAGAAGAAGCACCGGCUAACUACGUGCAAGCAGCCGCAGUAA